rnacentral:rRNA from 1 species
UACGGGGGGGGCAAGCGUUGUUCGGAAUUACUGGGCGUAAAGGGCUCGUAGGCGGCCAACUAAGUCGGACGUGAAAUCCCUCGGCUUAACCGGGGAACUGCGUCCGAUACUGGAUGGCUUGAGUUCGGGAGAGGGAUGCGGAAUUCCAGGUGUAGCGGUGAAAUGCGUAGAUAUCUGGAGGAACACCGGUGGCGAAGGCGGCAUCCUGGACCGAUACUGACGCUGAGGAGCGAAAGCCAGGGGAGCAACGGG